rnacentral:rRNA from 1 species
CCUACGGGUGGCAGCAGUGAGGAAUAUUGGUCAAUGGACGAGAGUCUGAACCAGCCAAGUAGCGUGAAGGAUGACUGCCCUAUGGGUUGUAAACUUCUUUUAUAUGGGAAUAAAAUGUUCCACGUGUGGGAUUUUGUAUGUAUCAUAUGAAUAAGGAUCGGCUAACUCCGUGCCAGCAGCCGCGGUAAUACGGAGGAUCCGAGCGUUAUCCGGAUUUAUUGGGUUUAAAGGGAGCGUAGGUGGAUUGUUAAGUCAGUUGUGAAAGUUUGCGGCUCAACCGUAAAAUUGCAGUUGAAACUGGCAGUCUUGAGUACAGUAGAGGUGGGCGGAAUUCGUGGUGUAGCGGUGAAAUGCUUAGAUAUCACGAAGAACUCCGAUUGCGAAGGCAGUUCACUGGACUGCAACUGACACUGAGGCUCGAAAGUGAGGGUAUCAAACAGGAUUAGAUACCCGAGUAGUC